rnacentral:lncRNA from 10 species
CAGUUAAUUUUUGUAUUUUUUAUAGAGAACAGGAUUUGCCAUGUUGCCCAGGCUGGUCUGGAAUUUUGAGCUCUAGAGAUCCACCCCCUCUUCACCUCCCAAAAUGCUGGGAUUACAGGCAUGUGCCACUGCGCCUGGCUUGGUUUAUUUUUUUCUAUUAUGUGGAGAGAGAUGGGAAUUUAACCAACUAUCAAUAAAAAUCCUUGUGUCUGAGUAGGACACAUAUUUACCACCUGAUCCUUUAUCCAAGUUAGUAUUUCUCUGUGAACUUAACCCUGAUAAAGGGAGUUGAAACAGAGGCAGUUUUACUGGAAAUAAUUAUUUUUCUUUUUUUUCUCUCCUUUUAGGAAAACGAAAAAGAACAAACAGAAAACACCUGGAAAUGGAGAUGGUGGCAGUACCAGUGAGACCCCUCAGCCUCCUCGGAAGAAAAGGGCCCGGGUAGAUCCUACUGUUGAAAAUGAGGAAACAUUCAUGAACAGAGUUGAAGUUAAAGUAAAGAUUCCUGAAGAGCUAAAACCGUGGCUUGUUGAUGACUGGGACUUAAUUACCAGGCAAAAACAGCUCUUUUAUCUUCCUGCCAAGAAGAAUGUGGAUUCCAUUCUUGAGGAUUAUGCAAAUUACA